UGGGGGAUAUUGCACAAUGGGGGAAACCCUGAUGCAGCGACGCCGCGUGAGUGAAGAAGUAUUUCGGUAUGUAAAGCUCUGUCAGCAGGGAAGAAAAUGACAGUACCUGACCAAGAAGCCCCGGCUAACUACGUGCC
rnacentral:rRNA from 1 species